ensembl:lncRNA
GGAUGAUAGCUGUGAGUGCUAUGUAAAAAUGGGAGUAGAAGUAUAAAAGCAGAUAUCACACUCAACAUGAGACUCCAGCUUCCUCCUUUUGAAGUUAAUCUCCAAACAGCUAAACCAGGAAUGGCCAACUGUAGCAGAAGUGCUAAGUCAGGGCUUGAAGCAGUGAUUGAGCAUGUGGUGGGAAAGCUGGGCCAACACAAGCCAGGUCAGAUACAUACAAUACACCUGAGUGACUAGAAGGGGUGGAUGCAGGAUCCACCCCGUCCCAGACCUCAUUUAAGAGUUGGCAGUGGAGGCAAGGCUAUCUUGCUGGAGAUCCCUGAUGUUUUGAGGCCUUUCAAAGUAUCUUGGCAAAACUGAAUAAAAGGACUGUGGAUAAAUCUUGAUUAAUACACCACCACAACAAACAUUCAGGAGGAGCAGCCUACGUAGAGCAAACAGUACACUUAUACUGGAUUUCUCAUCAGAGUUGCAGAUCCUGGCUUAAAUCAUCUGUACAAAAAUGUUAGCCAAGUGUGACUAUUGAGAUAAAUAAGAAGGAAAGUUCAGUGGCAGACUGUCCAGAAACAUCUAGUGAAAUUUAUGUCCCGGGAGAAUCCAC